rfam:Bacteroidia bacterium 44-10 SCNpilot_bf_inoc_scaffold_705, whole genome shotgun sequence.
AAAGAGUAGAGUCCAGAGACUACAAACAACGGGGCGAAACAGAAAAGCCAUACGAGUAAGAAUAUA